rnacentral:tRNA from 1 species
GUAUGGACAGUAGCCUAGUGGACAUGGCAUCUGCCUGGUAAGCGGAACACAGUGGGUUCAAUUCCCAUCCCUGGACA